rnacentral:RNase_P_RNA from 1 species
AAUCCUGAGUAAUUGCGGCUAUCUUUAUGAUAGCUGAGGAAAGUCCAUGCUCGCACAGGCUGCAAUGCCUGUAGUGUUCGUGCUCGGUGAAAAAAUAAGCCGGGGGACUCUAACGAGUUACGGCGGAUUUAAGGCUAAGGUCGUCAGACUAUGCUAGCGAUCCUUAAGGUGCCACAGAGACGAGUAAUUAGGGAAACUUAAUUGUUGGAACGCGGUAAACCCCUCGAGCGGGAAACCCAAACUUUGGUAGGGGAGCUUCACACACGGAAAACAAACCAAGUGUGGGGGGAAAGCUUUAUUGCUUUCGAGAUAGAUGAUUACUACUUGUCGUUCCUGUCCUGGGGAAUUGAUAAGCACAAAACAUGGCUUACAGGG